rnacentral:pre_miRNA from 1 species
UCUUAUGGAUGAACAAAGAAAGUGGUUUCUUGAGAUGGAGUCUAUUCCUGGUGAAGAUACAGUAAGCA